UUAAAUUAAAACUAAAAAGAUAAUUGAAGAAAGAUAGAAAAUUUGGCAGAAAAUAAAUAAGCUUAUAUAAAAAUUAAAUGAAAUAACUUCCUCACUAAUCACUUGCCACUUGGAACAAUUUCAUAUUUUCCAAGGGUCUCAACCCACACAUAACCUGAAUUAUAUUCUAAAGCCCAAAACUCAAAUUAUUGUAUUUCAAACCAUUAAAUUAAACUUCAAACGAUCCAACGACUAACAUUUAUAUUCAUGCCAACGGAUACAACAUCCUAUCCGCCCAAACUAACGAGGAGUAACAACUUUUAGCUAGAAUGUCGCGUUCAAGGUCUCGGGUUCCCAAAUUAAACUAUAUAUUAUGUAGAAAUUCGGACGGAGGAAUAUUUGAUGACAACUGGCAACUAUACAUAUAUAUAUAUGUUUAUUAUGAUUUACAGCAAAUAUCUCCAUCCCCCACAGUUGACAGUACAUUACCAUCGUGUAAUCUACCUCCAUACGCAUUCAUAUACAAUAAUAAUGCAGCAGCCAGCUAGCCCCUAGAUCAUGAACGGAGCUGCGGAUAAUCCUGGGAAAACGCCGCCCAACUCAUUACUGCUCCGCCUGACCAUAACCAGCAAUAACAACAACAAUGGAAAUUAAACUCAUUUCAAACAACCUACGAAUUUUAACAUUUAGUGAGGUUGUCCCUGGGUAAACUCCAGGGACGUCGAUCGUCAACCUAGAUAAGAUCGAUAAUGACAUCACAGGCGAUCCAGAACGGUAAGCAUUCCGAAUUUCAAAUUCAAAAUUUUUAAAAAUGAAAUCAACUACUACAAUUACUCGACCACAGAGCUAUCGGCCAUUUUCCAGUUUUUCCCUAACGCAUUUUCUUUUCAGUUUGUUAUUAGAUAGGGACGCAAGAGGGCCACGUCAUGACAAAGAAAAGAAAACGGCAAUCCGAAAAGUCACGCGAAAGUUUGGUUACCAGUAGGAAGAAUCACGGGAUCCACCACGGCUCCGAACGCUGCCCUUCCUCUUCACCGCCUUCUCUUUCUCCCUCCUUCUCUGUUUCUCCUCCUCCGCCGCCGCCGCGUUGUCUUCCGCAAUCGCUGCCAGGGACGGCUUCCAGUUUUCCCCUGUCCCCGACCCCGCAGCUCUGCUCCUCUUCUUCGUCCGGCUGCGUCCUGAUCCGGGGGUAAUUUCCGUUAUUGUCAUCGAUUCAACGGCACGCGCCGCGACGUUGGUGGGUUGUGAAACAAGGCCCCGGGUCUCCUCGGGCGUCCUGCAACAGGAGACAAAGUCGAAUAGGAACCUCAUCCAGCCAAGGAAGGAAUUCGGAAGAAGGAAGAUAUAGAAAUAUGUAAUUCUGUAAUUUGGGAGGGGUGAGAGAGGGGGGGGGGGGGGGAGCUAGGAAACGAAGGGAAUAUUACGGGAAGUGAUUGCCAUGAGGCUGCUGGUGCUUGGCUUCUUCUUCAUCUUAAAGAAGGGAAGAGAUUAAGAUAUCUGGAGGAGGAGGAGGAGGUGGAGGGAGUCAUUUGCAGAGGAGGGACAGGGGCAGGGCACAGUGCCUAAUGGGCCCAAUGGAUAUUAAUUUGCCAUUUUAUCCUAAUCACCUUACUUAUUUGGACAUGGAUUUCUACCUUUAUUACGGUUUUGCCAACCCAUCAACGGAUCUGAUCUUAAUAACC
rnacentral:lncRNA from 1 species